rnacentral:rRNA from 1 species
GAAGCAGCUUGCUGCUUUGCUGACGAGUGGCGGACGGGUGAGUAAUGUCUGGGAAACUGCCUGAUGGAGGGGGAUAACUACUGGAAACGGUAGCUAAUACCGCAUAACGUCGCAAGACCAAAGAGGGGGACCUUCGGGCCUCUUGCCAUCGGAUGUGCCCAGAUGGGAUUAGCUAGUAGGUGGGGUAAAGGCUCACCUAGGCGACGAUCCCUAGCUGGUCUGAGAGGAUGACCAGCCACACUGGAACUGAGACACGGUCCAGACUCCUACGGGAGGCAGCAGUGGGGAAUAUUGCACAAUGGGCGCAAGCCUGAUGCAGCCAUGCCGCGUGUAUGAAGAAGGCCUUCGGGUUGUAAAGUACUUUCAGCGGGGAGGAAGGGAGUAAAGUUAAUACCUUUGCUCAUUGACGUUACCCGCAGAAGAAGCACCGGCUAACUCCGUGCCAGCAGCCGCGGUAAUACGGAGGGUGCAAGCGUUAAUCGGAAUUACUGGGCGUAAAGCGCACGCAGGCGGUUUGUUAAGUCAGAUGUGAAAUCCCCGGGCUCAACCUGGGAACUGCAUCUGAUACUGGCAAGCUUGAGUCUCGUAGAGGGGGGUAGAAUUCCAGGUGUAGCGGUGAAAUGCGUAGAGAUCUGGAGGAAUACCGGUGGCGAAGG